rnacentral:rRNA from 1 species
ACACCGCCCGUCACACCACGAGAGUUUGUAACACCCGAAGUCGGUGAGGUAACCUUUUGGAGCCAGCCGCCUAAGGUGGGAUAGAUGAUUGGGGUGAAGUCGUAACAAGGUAGCCGUAUCGGAAGGUGCGGCUGGAUCACCUCCUUUCUAAGGAA